rnacentral:rRNA from 1 species
UACGGAGGGUGCGAGCGUUGUCCGGAAUCACUGGGCGUAAAGGGCGCGUAGGUGGCCUGUGGAAGUCUGCGGUGAAAGCCCGGCGCUCAACGCCGGGUCGGCCGUGGAUACUCUCGGGCUUGAGCUUACUAGAGGCAGAUGGAAUUCCGGGUGUAGCGGUGGAAUGCGCAGAUAUCGGGAAGAACACCCCGUGGCGAAGGCGGCUCUCUGGGACGGUACUGACGCUGAGACGCGAAAGCGUGGGGAGCGAACAGG